GACGAACGCUGGCGGCGUGCUUAACACAUGCAAGUCGAACGCUGAAGCUCAGCUUUUGUUGGGUGGAUGAGUGGCGAACGGGUGAGUAACACGUGAGUAACCUGCCCCCUUCUUUGGGAUAACGCCCGGAAACGGGUGCUAAUACUGGAUAUUCACUGGUCUCGCAUGGGGGGUGGUGGAAAGGGGUUUUCUGGGGGGGGAUGGGCUCGCGGCCUAUCAGCUUGUUGGUGGGGUGAUGGCCUACCAAGGCUUUGACGGGUAGCCGGCCUGAGAGGGUGACCGGUCACAUUGGGACUGAGAUACGGCCCAGACUCCUACGGGAGGCGGCAGUGGGGAAUAUUGCACAAUGGGCGCAAGCCUGAUGCAGCGACGCCGCGUGAGGGAUGGAGGCCUUCGGGUUGUGAACCUCUUUCGCUCAUGGUCAAGCCGCAACAAUGGUUGUGGUGAGGGUAGUGGGUAAAGAAGCGCCGGCUAACUACGUG
rnacentral:rRNA from 1 species